rnacentral:rRNA from 1 species
GUCGAGUCGGCCUGCGCGGAAGAUGUAACGGGGCUCAAACCAGGCACCGAAGCCGCGGAUUCACGCUAAGCGUGAGUGGUAGGGGAGCGUUCUGUAAGUCUGCGAAGGUGUAUCGAGAGGUAUGCUGGAGAUAUCAGAAGUGCGAAUGCUGACGUAAGUAACGAUAAAGGGGGUGAAAAGCCUCCUCGCCGGAAGACCAAGGGUUCCUGUCCAACGUUAAUCGGGGCAGGGU